AUCAGAAAGUCUGCCUUUUGCUUCCGCAGUUCAUUCUUGAGCAUCGCUGCCACCUCAUGACCUUUGAAGAUCUGGCGGGGAGGAUCGUUUUGAACAAAAAAUACCAUCUUGGUGCUGCAGAGACAUGCAACAGUAUGAAUGAGCAGAAGCUGUCAACAACAGGGGUAGCUGUCAUCUGCUGAGUACCUUCUGUUUGUGCUAGACACUGUGCUACGUUUUAUGUGCUUUCUCUCACAUCAAGUCAGUGAGAAAGGCCAUCUGGGGGCUCUCUAGUCAUCUCCCCCCAUCCACAACACAAGGGAAAAUGUCUAGCUCAACAAUCUUACCAAAAAUAGGAAUGAAUCUGCUCCACAGAUUUGAAAACAGUAAACACAAAGGAAAUCCAGGCAACCAAGAAACAAGGAUUUCAUUAGAGCAACAUCACAGCUGUACAAUCUUUUUACAACUCUAGAAGUCAGAUGGAUUGUACCUAUAAAAGCACCAGGACCAUAAAGCACUACCUGGGGACUGGCUGAUGGCACCAGCCUUGGAUAAGCCAAUAAAAGCAAAUAGACUCUUAAAAGUAAGUA